rnacentral:rRNA from 2 species
GAACGCUGGCGGCGUGCCUAAUACAUGCAAGUCGAACGAGUUCUCGUUGAUGAUCGGUGCUUGCACCGAGAUUCAACAUGGAACGAGUGGCGGACGGGUGAGUAACACGUGGGUAACCUGCCCUUAAGUGGGGGAUAACAUUUGGAAACAGAUGCUAAUACCGCAUAGAUCCAAGAACCGCAUGGUUCUUGGCUGAAAGAUGGCGUAAGCUAUCGCUUUUGGAUGGACCCGCGGCGUAUUAGCUAGUUGGUGAGGUAAUGGCUCACCAAGGCGAUGAUACGUAGCCGAACUGAGAGGUUGAUCGGCCACAUUGGGACUGAGACACGGCCCAAACUCCUACGGGAGGCAGCAGUAGGGAAUCUUCCACAAUGGACGCAAGUCUGAUGGAGCAACGCCGCGUGAGUGAAGAAGGCUUUCGGGUCGUAAAACUCUGUUGUUGGAGAAGAAUGGUCGGCAGAGUAACUGUUGUCGGCGUGACGGUAUCCAACCAGAAAGCCACGGCUAACUACGUGCCAGCAGCCGCGGUAAUACGUAGGUGGCAAGCGUUAUCCGGAUUUAUUGGGCGUAAAGCGAGCGCAGGCGGUUUUUUAAGUCUGAUGUGAAAGCCCUCGGCUUAACCGAGGAAGCGCAUCGGAAACUGGGAAACUUGAGUGCAGAAGAGGACAGUGGAACUCCAUGUGUAGCGGUGAAAUGCGUAGAUAUAUGGAAGAACACCAGUGGCGAAGGCGGCUGUCUGGUCUGUAACUGACGCUGAGGCUCGAAAGCAUGGGUAGCGAACAGGAUUAGAUACCCUGGUAGUCCAUGCCGUAAACGAUGAAUGCUAGGUGUUGGAGGGUUUCCGCCCUUCAGUGCCGCAGCUAACGCAUUAAGCAUUCCGCCUGGGGAGUACGACCGCAAGGUUGAAACUCAAAGGAAUUGACGGGGGCCCGCACAAGCGGUGGAGCGCGUGGUUUAAUUCGAAGCAACGCGAAGAACCUUACCAGGUCUUGACAUCUUUUGAUCACCUGAGAGAUCAGGUUUCCCCUUCGGGGGCAAAAUGACAGGUGGUGCAUGGUUGUCGUCAGCUCGUGUCGUGAGAUGUUGGGUUAAGUCCCGCAACGAGCGCAACCCUUAUGACUAGUUGCCAGCAUUUAGUUGGGCACUCUAGUAAGACUGCCGGUGACAAACCGGAGGAAGGUGGGGAUGACGUCAAAUCAUCAUGCCCCUUAUGACCUGGGCUACACACGUGCUACAAUGGAUGGUACAACGAGUUGCGAGACCGCGAGGUCAAGCUAAUCUCUUAAAGCCAUUCUCAGUUCGGACUGUAGGCUGCAACUCGCCUACACGAAGUCGGAAUCGCUAGUAAUCGCGGAUCAGCACGCCGCGGUGAAUACGUUCCCGGGCCUUGUACACACCGCCCGUCACACCAUGAGAGUUUGUAACACCCGAAGCCGGUGGCGUAACCCUUUUAGGGAGCGAGCCGUCUAAGGUGGGACAAAUGAUUA